rnacentral:rRNA from 1 species
UACGGGGGGGGCAAGCGUUGUUCGGAAUUACUGGGCGUAAAGGGCUCGUAGGCGGCCAACUAAGUCAGACGUGAAAUCCCUCGGCUUAACCGGGGAACUGCGUCUGAUACUGGAUGGCUUGAGUUCGGGAGAGGGAUGCGGAAUUCCAGGUGUAGCGGUGAAAUGCGUAGAUAUCUGGAGGAAUACCGGUGGCGAAGGCGGCAUCCUGGACCGACAUUGACGCUGAUGAGCGAAAGCUAGGGGAGCAAACGGG